rnacentral:rRNA from 1 species
UACGUAGGGCGCAAGCGUUAUCCGGAAUUAUUGGGCGUAAAGAGCGCGUAGGCGGCCAGAUAAGUCCGGUGUGAAAGUCAAAGGCUCAACCUUUGAAUGCCGCUGGAAACUGUCUGGCUAGAGUCCGGAAGGGGCGAGUGGAAUUCCUGGUGUAGCGGUGAAAUGCGCAGAUAUCAGGAGGAACACCAAUGGCGAAGGCAGCUCGCUGGGACGUUACUGACGCUGAGACGCGAAAGCGUGGGGAGCAAACAGG